rnacentral:rRNA from 1 species
UACGUAGGGGGCAAGCGUUGUCCGGAUUUAUUGGGCGUAAAGAGCGUGUAGGCGGUUAUGUAGGUCCGCUGUGAAAACUGGAGGCUUAACCUCCAGACGUCGGUGGAAACCACAUGGCUAGAGUCCGGAAGAGGAGAGUGGAAUUCCUGGUGUAGCGGUGAAAUGCGCAGAUAUCAGGAAGAACACCCGUGGCGAAGGCGGCUCUCUGGGACGGUACUGACGAUGAGACGCGAAAGCGUGGGGAGCGAACAGG